rnacentral:rRNA from 1 species
UCUGGUUGAUCCUGCCAGUAGUCAUAUGCUUGUCUCAAAGAUUAAGCCAUGCAUGUCUAAGUCCAAGCUGUGUUUACACGGCGAGACCGCGGACGGCUCAUUAAAUCAGUCGUGGUCCAAAUGGGCCAGUCCUUUUUACUUGGAUAACUGUGGUAAUUCCAGAGCUAAUACAUGCAACUCAUACCCUGAUGGGAGUUCCCUCUUGCGCUUGUCGCUUGAGGUGCAUCGACCUGAAGGGUGCUUUUAUUAGACCAAACCGCUGGGGGCUGUCGCGUGUCUCACCUCGGUGUGCCGCGGCAGCUUGACUCGCUUUAUGGUGACUCUGGAUAACCAUUUCUGACAAGCGCACGUACCCCUCUCCGAGUGGGACGGCGCUGCCACUUUCGAGUGUCUGCCUUAUCAGCUGUCAACCGCUCGCUACACGCGACCGAUGGCUUUGACGGGUAACGGGGAAUCAGGGUUUGAUUCCGGAGAGGCAGCCUGAGAGACGGCUACCACGUCCAAGGACGGCAGCAGGCACGCAAAUUACCCAAUCCCAGCAUCUGGGGGAGGUAGUGACAGAAAUCUAACGAUGCGGACGCCCUUUCCGGGCUCCGCAAUCGGAAUGAGCGCUUUCUAAACAACCCGUUGAGAACCUACUGAAGGGCAAGUCUGGUGCCAGCAGCCGCGGUAAUUCCAGCUUCAGUAGCAUCUAUUAAAGUUGCUGCGGUUAAAAGGCUCGCAGUUGAAUGUCAGUGCCGGGCGUUGGAUAGGUGGACGUUGGGGCGUGGGAUCAAGUCGUGGCGUAGCUCUCUCUCACUUCACGGUGUUGAGGGACUCGCUCGGCUCCCACAUGCUCCCGUCCGUAACAAGCCUCCGCGCCUGUGUACAUAGUGAUGCUUGUUGUGGGAGGUGUGCUCGGCUUGCCUUGUGCGCCUCUCCUAGAGUUUCAGUGUCACCGUGAGUAAAUCGGAGUGCUCAAAGCAGUCGUAACGGGCCUCGUGCCCUGUGAACAGUCUUGACGGACUGACUUGGUUUUGCAUGGUAUGUCGGAAGACGACGUCGAGCGCUGGCUAAGAGAUUCAAUCAGUGGUGUAAGCCAGCCUCUGACGUACUGAUUAAAAGGGCUUGUCGAGGGCAUUGGUAUUGCGGAGCGAGAGGUGAAAUUCUAUGACCUCCGCAAGACCGCCCGAAGCGAAAGCGUCUGCCAAGGAUGUUUUCAUUAAUCAUGAACGAAAGUUAGAGGAUCGAAGGCGAUCAGAUACCGCCCUAGUUCUAACCCUAAACGAUGCCAACCAUCAAUCCGCGCGUAGCACCCUUUUUGACGGGCUCGGCGGGCAGCUCCUUUUUUCACGGGAAACCAGAGUCUCUGGGUUCCGGGGGGAGUCUGGUUGCAAAGCUAAAACUUAAAGGAAUUGACGGAAAGGCACCACCAGGCGUGGAGCCUGCGGCUUAAUUUGACUCAACACGGGCCAUCUCACCAGGCCAGCACUCUAGCAUGAUUGACAGAUUGAGAGCUCUUUCUCGAUUCAGUGGAUGGUGGUGCAUGGCCGUUCUUAGUUGGUGGAGUGAUCUGUCUGGUUAAUUCCGAUAACGAACGAGACUCUCCCCUGCUAACUAGUCGGUUGGAUCUUGCUCGGUGAGUCGUGCACCGGUGGUGCUCGGCGGCUCGGUAAGUUUCGGGUGUGCGGUGUUGUGUGCAGUUCGCUGUUGCGCGCCCGUGCAUUUGAAGCCCCGGUCGUUGGAGGCCUCGGAUCGUACACUCCAAGUCCGCCGCUUAUGAUAUAACUCUUCUUAGAGGGAUCCACGGCUCUGAAGCCGUCAGAGACUGAGAGCAAUAACAGGUCUGUGAUGCCCUUAGAUGCUCUGGGCCGCACGCGCGCUACAAUGCCGGGCACAGCAGGUUCUUUUCCUGCUCCGAGAGGAGCGGGCAACCCUCUGAAAGCCCUUGAUCACACUCGUUUUAAGUAACGAAUGGCGUGCUUGGGCCUGGGGCUUGCAAUUAUUCCCCACAAACGAGGAAUGCCUAGUAGCGGCGAGUCACUGAGCUCGCUGUGACUCAGUCCCUGCCCUUUGUACACACCGCCCGUCGCUACUACCGAUUGGGUGUACCAGUGAGAGCCUUGGACUGGCGGCCGUUGCCUUCGGGCAAGCGGAUUCGACGGAAAGAGGUCCGAACUGGUGCACUUAGAGGAAGUAAAAGUCGUAACAAGGUUUCCGUAGGUGAACCUGCGGAAGGAUCAUUAA